AGAACCUGAAUACACCUUUGCACUCACUCGGUACUACCCUCCUGUCGAAUCUAGUAUUCGAUCUUGGUCACGAGCUUGGAUAUCUAAUUACUCAUCACAUUAAUAGACAUUUAUACAUACCACCUUAUAAUACGAGGAUGGUGAAGCUACUUCCACGCCUUACUGUUAAUUACCUACGGGAGGAAUACUCUAGAUUGGAACUAGCCGAGUCCAAGGAAGAAUUGCUGGGCCUAUGUAAACUUCAACUUGUAGCCUUAUUGAAGUAGCAUUUUGAAACUUGUGAAUGUGAUCCUAAAGCCUUCGCCUUCGACAAGUCUUCCCCUUCAACUCCUGAUACGGAUCCAUUUCGGGAAACAAAUAACAUUGGUGUUCCCCAACCUUCUCAUUUUGAAAUGUCUGGCCCUAGAAGAGGCCAUCGGUAGUCCACAUAGAGUGAUGAAUUCCGGAAUUACAUAGGGCUCUAUCCUGAUCUGUUUGCAGGAUUAAAGGCGGCUCUCUUACUUCAUUGCACCGGCUCAUAUGUCCAACAGUUACAUAGACAGCGUCAGAGGAUAGUUGAAAUAGUUUAAUUAUCGUAACCUUUUAAUAAUAAGGAAAUCACUUUGGUACGUCAAGCGAAGGAACACGAAGUGAAGAAAAUAAUAUAUUGACUGAGGAAGAGAGAAGGGACCCGACUUUUUCGAAUUAUAGCACUUCGAAGGGUGACGAAAGUAAAUGGAAGGCCUCAUUGUGUGGAAGGACAUACUUCCAUAAAGAAAAUAAGCAUUUGUAAAAUAAAUAAAUAAACAUUAAAUCAAAGCAAUUUCAAUUCGUUUAAUUUGCAAUCCUUCCUAAAGAAAAUGUUUUGAUCCAAAGCUAUCGAACAAGUCCAAUUUGGAAUGAUAUUUUAGAUAUAAUUCAUCUACUUCUUAGAUAAAAGUAUGACUGUGAAGAAAACAUAUGCCAUCAAAUCCAUUAACCUUCGUAAAAAUGUGCAGUUCAUCCAGAUUUCGAUCUUGUCUACGCUACUUAUUUUUGAUGGAAUGGAUUGAAACAUUUAUGGAGUUGGACCUGGGGUCCACUUGAAGGAGAGGUGAAGGGACCACUUCAGCAUCAAUAUUGCAGAGUUUCAUUAUAGUUCAAAACUUCAUUUACAUUAUUUUUCCUUUGUAUCUCCUUAGAUACGUGAAUUUUGACCCCUGAGUUUUCUUGAAGUGGUCCACUUGCUUCCAUUCUCCAUCAAUAUAUGUUCUUAAUCUACAUUUCUGGUACCAAGUCUGCUUACUGUAUUUAAUUACUGGUGUAGACGAAGUUUUCCUCACAGGCUAAGCAUAAGGAAUCUUAUACCAGGAGCUUGCAAUGCAUGAUGUAACCUUAUAAUAUUUUAAUAAAAAUUCCAAACAGAUUUGGUAGAUAUUAAUGAACGAGAUAUCAAUAUUAAUAAAAACUGAAGGAACACUGAA
rnacentral:lncRNA from 1 species